rnacentral:misc_RNA from 1 species
ACCACUUUUUACUUCAAACUUUUUGCUAUCUUCUUUGUCUUUUUCUCCCCUUCCUUUUACCUUUCUAUGUCAACUGGGGCAGAGCUUCUUCCUAUAUUCAUAAAAGUGUUUGAUUUGCUNNNNNNNNNNUUGUGAUUCAACAUCAUCUGAAUCUUCUUCUAGCAACUGCUGAUGAUCUUCUUUUGUUAAAGGUGAAUACUCAAUUUUUUGUUCACCAUAAAAUUUGUG